GCCAACUCAGCUUUCAGCCACUCCUAGGACUGGCUGUACUACCUUCUACUCUCAAUGACUUGCAACUGGUGGACUCACCUGAGGGCCUCACAGAUUCCGCUGCCCCUGCCCACCUUCCAUGAACUCAGUAUAAGGGAUAAUGAGGCAGGGCAGGCAUUUCCAGACUGAUUCUCUUUCUGUGCAGGGAAAGCUGCUGAGGUCAGAGUUUGGCGACACAUCCUAUUUUGGUGGAAAUUCGAAACAGGCUCUUCCGAAGAUUGGGACCUCUUGAGAUAAAGAUGGGGUCCUGGGAGGAGAAGAAGAGUGGCAAGGAGCAAUGUGCAAUGUUAUGUUUAAGCAGACCAAAUCUAUGCCAGUAGAGUAUUUACCAAUACCGUGUCCUGAGAGCUCCUCAUCCCCGGAGGACAAAUAAUUGAGUUGAAGGCCUCAUUUCAUCCUUGGAAAGAGAAUUACUGAAACUAAUAGAGACUUGUGAGGAUUGAAUAUGAUGGUGUACUCAGCGCAGUGUCUGGUAUUUAGUAGAAACUCAACAAACAUUAGUUUUUCAACUGUCUGCAUUUAAAGAGAUGAUUGAAUAUGAUUGUUUUUAGGUAAGACAUCUGAGUUUCAUUUAGUGAUGGAUUAAUUCAGCAUUAGUUUUGGAGGUGAAAAAGUUUAAAGAGUAACAUCAAAAACUCUUUUCUCAUCAAACAGAAUGAACAUAAUUGUUUUGAUGGUUGGCAUCUCAACAUCCAUUCUGCCUGAAAUUCUACCUGUCUUAUUGUCUAAGACAAUAAUGCUGACCUCAAAACCGUUGCCAAUAUUUGAUUCAGGAAUGAGUAUAUCUGACUUGGGAAUUGAGUGAGUGAUGCAACUGGGACCAUGAAGACACGAGAGUAAAUGUUUUAGGGGAUUUUUAGAAAGGUUUUCUAACAGAGGAAGAAAAAAAAUAACAUAGGAAGACAUUACUGAAUCUUGCCAUGAUGCCUGGAGCUGUGGCAGCCAUCUGUGGCUAUACGGGAUACUAGCCCAAGGGGUAAAGCCACCACACUGAGGAUAACAGAACAGAAAGAUAGAAGAAACCGGGUUUUUGUUUGUUUUCUUUUUUUUUUUUAUGAUGCUGUCAAACCACAAAGUUAAUCAACCCUAAAAGUAACUCUGCUUUUGGAUUUCCUAUUAAAUCACUUAAGCCAUUUGAGUUAGUUUCCCCCAUUAUUUGCAGCCCCAAACAUCUAUUUGUUACAGUAAUUACUGACAUUUGCUCUAUCUAUCCCUGCACCAAACUAUACAUUUUGUUAAUUAAUAUGGCUUAAUUGUAAGUCCCAAUACAUGGUAGGGCUAGUCCUUUUAUUCUUUUGGUUAUACUUGGUUCAUUGCUCCUUCACAUAAAUUUAAGAUUCAGCUUGUCCAUUUAUAUAUGCACAUACACACACACACACACACACACACACACAAACAUUUUUAAAAAUCAACAAUAACAACUAGAAUAUUAACAACCCUGUCUGGACAAUUUGGAGGAGGACUGAUA